AAAUUGAAGAGUUUGAUCAUGGCUCAGAUUGAACGCUGGCGGCAGGCCUAACACAUGCAAGUCGAGCGGUAGCACAGAGAGCUUGCUCUCGGGUGACGAGCGGCGGACGGGUGAGUAAUGUCUGGGAAACUGCGGCUCACCUAGGCGACGAUCCCUAGCUGGUCUGAGAGGAUGACCAGCCACACUGGAACUGAGACACGGUCCAGACUCCUACGGGAGGCAGCAGUGGGGAAUAUUGCACAAUGGGCGCAAGCCUGAUGCAGCCAUGCCGCGUGUGUGAAGAAGGCCUUCGGGUUGUAAAGCACUUUCAGCGGGGAGGAAGGCGAUAAGGUUAAUAACCUUGUCGAUUGACGUUACCCGCAGAAGAAGCACCGGCUAACUCCGUGCCAGCAGCCGCGGUAAUACGGAGGGUGCAAGCGUUAAUCGGAAUUACUGGGCGUAAAGCGCACGCAGGCGGUCUGUCAAGUCGGAUGUGAAAUCCCCGGGCUCAACCUGGGAACUGCAUUCGAAACUGGCAGGCUAGAGUCUUGUAGAGGGGGGUAGAAUUCCAGGUGUAGCGGUGAAAUGCGUAGAGAUCUGGAGGAAUACCGGUGGCGAAGGCGGCCCCCUGGACAAAGACUGACGCUCAGGUGCGAAAGCGUGGGGAGCAAACAGGAUUAGAUACCCUGGUAGUCCACGCCGUAAACGAUGUCGAUUUGGAGGUUGUGCCCUUGAGGCGUGGCUUCCGGAGCUAACGCGUUAAAUCGACCGCCUGGGGAGUACGGCCGCAAGGUUAAAACUCAAAUGAAUUGACGGGGGCCCGCACAAGCGGUGGAGCAUGUGGUUUAAUUCGAUGCAACGCGAAGAACCUUACCUGGUCUUGACAUCCACAGAACUUUCCAGAGAUGGAUUGGUGCCUUCGGGAACUGUGAGACAGGUGCUGCAUGGCUGUCGUCAGCUCGUGUUGUGAAAUGUUGGGUUAAGUCCCGCAACGAGCGCAACCCUUAUCCUUUGUUGCCAGCGGUUAGGCCGGGAACUCAAAGGAGACUGCCAGUGAUAAACUGGAGGAAGGUGGGGAUGACGUCAAGUCAUCAUGGCCCUUACGACCAGGGCUACACACGUGCUACAAUGGCAUAUACAAAGAGAAGCGACCUCGCGAGAGCAAGCGGACCUCAUAAAGUAUGUCGUAGUCCGGAUUGGAGUCUGCAACUCGACUCCAUGAAGUCGGAAUCGCUAGUAAUCGUAGAUCAGAAUGCUACGGUGAAUACGUUCCCGGGCCUUGUACACACCGCCCGUCACACCAUGGGAGUGGGUUGCAAAAGAAGUAGGUAGCUUAACCUUCGGGAGGGCGCUUACCACUUUGUGAUUCAUGACUGGGGUGAAGUCGUAACAAGGUAACCGUAGGGGAACCUGCGGUUGGAUCACCUCCUUA
rnacentral:rRNA from 1 species